rnacentral:lncRNA from 1 species
UUUUCCAAAGAAGAUGUCCAGAUAGCCAACAGGCACAUGAAAAGUUACUCAACAUUAUUAAUCACCAGGACAUACAAGUCAAAUGACAAUGAGAUGUCACCUCACACCGGUUAGAAGAGCUAUUAUCGAAAAGACAUGAAAUAGCUUUCCUUCCUCGUGGUUGCUGAGAACUCUGAAGCAAACAAGUGGUGAAUACAAUUUGGAAAGGACUUGGGGGAGAAUAAGUAACGAAUUUUCUCAACCUGUAAUGGCAUCUAAUUCAGCUGUAGAAAUUGACAAUGAAAGCAAGCGGUGGCAAGAGGAUUUUUCAACUACCUUGAAAAAUUGAAGUAUGAAUACUAUCUCAAGGAAUCCUUGAAACAAAUGAAUGUUGGUGAAGAUUUAGAAAGGGAAGAUUUUAACAGUCGUAGAUACAAAUACUUGGAUGAUGAUGGAUCUCUCCUAUUGAAGAGUCAGAAACAGUGGAAGAGGCUGCAACAACUCUUGAAAAUGAUGAUGGGUGUGAUAUCAAAUUGGUGGACAAGAGGAAUAUACUGA